UGGUCCAUAGCUCAGUUGGUAGAGCGGCUGGCUGUUAACCAGCGUGUCGUAGGUUCGAGUCCUACUGGAUCAG
rnacentral:tRNA from 1 species